CUCUUAUUGAGAGAGGUGGAGGGAUUGGCCCUAUGAAACCCGGCAACCAGUGUGAAAAUACAAGGUGCUAAAUCCAACAGAGCGUAUAGUUCUGAAAAAUGAGAG
rnacentral:ncRNA from 2 species